CAGCCAUUCUCUCUCUGUCCGGAAGGGAAGGUGAGCGAAGAGGUAGUAUCAGCCAUUCUCUCUCUGUCCGGAAGGGAAGGUGAGCGAAGAGGCGGUAUCAGCCAUUCUCUCUCUGUCCGGAAGGGAAGGCGAGCGAAGAGGUAGUAUCAGCCAUUCUCUCUCUGUCUGGAAGGGAAGGUGAGCGAAGAGGUAGUAUCAGCCGUUCUCUCUCUGUCCGGAAGGGAAGGUGAGCGAAGAGGCAGUAUCAGCCAUUCUCUCUCUGUCCGGAAGGGAAGGUGAGUGAAGAGGUAGUAUCAGCCAUUCUCUCUCUGUCCGGAAGGGAAGGUGAGCAAAGAGGCAGUAUCAGCCGUACUCUCUCUGUCCGGAAGGGAAGGUGAGCGAAGAGGUAGUAUCAGCCAUUCUCUCUCUGUCGGGAAGGGAAGGUGAGUGAAGAGGUAGUAUCAGCCAUUCUCUCUCUGUCCGGAAGGGAAGGUGAGCGAAGAGGUAGUAUCAGCCAUUCUCUCUCUGUCCGGAAGGGAAGGUGAGC
ensembl:lncRNA